ensembl:lncRNA
CUUACAUCUCUUAACGCGACCGGGGGAAGACCAAGAGGAAGAAGAACAAGAAGAAGUACAUUUUGUUUUCUCCUCAUUCUUAUUUAAAUAACAAAAGAGGGGAUUUAAAGAGCGAGGCUUACCCACGGAUCGCUGGGGCGCUUGCUGCUUUCUCCUCGGCAUUCUGCUGCAAGACUUUCCGCUUGACUUUUCAUGCAGAGAUCAGAGCAGACUGGAGCCGGACGGGGUUCCGGUUCGGCGGGUGAACUAAGCGUCUCUUCCUAGACCCUUCGCCAGAGUUCAGGAUUAAAAAGGCAGCGCCGUAGCUCCGAGCGAUGGUUUCCUCGACGUCUAUGAGUCAGUGUGAUUAAAAAGAGUGCUCGCUAAACGUCUCUGAUCAUGUUUUUUUUUUUUUUUAACUCGUACGUCCGCUGAAAAAAAAGAGCCGACGUCUUAAACGAAAAGCGGGCGUUUUGUCAACUUGUGUCGACCGUCAAAACUCAUCGUGAGAACCGCGUUAGUCGGAACCGGGUUUGGGGACUACAGCUGGGAGGAGGGACACGGACAGUCGAAGCCGAAGCCCCGGUCGCUCUCCGCGCUCCCAUUCAAGAAAUCCACCUUUAAUCGAGACGACGGGGAGGACUACUUUCAGCACAAAAAGUGGCAAAAAUAGCGACUGAAAACUGCGAUUGACUGAAGUCCUUCGACGACGCAGGGCAGAGCACUCCAGAGCGUGUAGUCGCUGUCCAUACAGGUAAGGGAGCGAGACUUUCGACCCUGUGAGCAUCGGAUUACAAACUUUCUGCAACUGGCGACCUGAGUUCGAGAUUCUCCGGGCUGGAUACGGGAAUGACCGAAGUGACCCCCCCCCCCAACGGAUUCCGUCUUGUUUUUCUGGGGUGAGAGGUGGUGUCAAAGGAAGAGACUUUAUAUCACACAUUUAAACCCUCACACUGUAAGACCAAAUGUACGUUUAUAUUUUCUACAAGCGUGAUAACAAUGUCUGUGCUUCUCUUUCAAUGUUGUUUUAAAUUAAUAGCAGAGAACAAGACUCAUUUGUGGGGCAGUAUAUGACUAAAUGAGUAGGAUGGAAAAUUAUAGAUUCUACCAAAACACACACACAGUACGUCAAACAUUAACGCAUGGCAAAGACCUGCACAUUUAUUCCAGUCCCUGUUUUAAUUAAAGUGAUUUAUCAGGUUUAGCGAUGUAUAAAUUGAGUUAUGAUGUGUCUUUCCCGUGUUAUUAUUUAUUGUGUCGGCUACUUUGCUUGUAAAUGGCAUUAAUCAUGUACUCAUUAUUUAUUAUUAUGAUUAUUUAUUAUUAUUUUGAUGCAUGCUCUUCCCCUAUUAUGAUGGUGAACAGAACGCCCGUCUUUAUGAAGAAUAGAUUCGCUAUAUCGAGUACAAUUGUUUUGUGUCCUCAUUUUAUUUGUAGCAUUAUUAAUACUGAGGUCGCUGUUUCAUUUUGACCAUGUAAAUGAUCGUUCGAAACUUUUCUGUUGUCUCUUCAUUGCCGUCCUUGUAACCAUCACUACUCCGGAACACGUACAUGGUCAAAAUAAUGUCACACAAAUACCAAACGUUCAGCUCUUUGUAAAAUAAUGUUUAUAUUAGUGAGUCGCUGGAGUUACUAACUUAACAUGUUAACCACAAUGGUAAUUAAUGGGUUAUGUAGCAUGUCUAUACGUUGCGUUUGAACAUAAACUACUGCAGAUUUAAAACCUUGGCUUACACCGAUUCUGGCUUUCAUUUUGGUAUGCAUUGAAAUGUAAUAUCCUUAAUAUUCUCUCUGACAACCUUUAAUUUAUCCUGGAACUAACAUAACAUAAUUCUUCCCAGACUUAAAUAAAGCAUAGUCAUGCCAUUAAACAAGUUACGUUUGAGGCGAUGCGAUUUAACACUAUACUGUAACGCUUCUCUUUAUAAUCUCUGGAAAUCUUCAAUCGGCAAUAAAAUCGUAUGAGGUUUCCAGACACUCAUUGACAGGCCGAAUAUAAGAAUAUAUCCUAGAAUAUAAUAAGAAAGGGCUCUUACUUUGACACCAGCUAUAUCUUCAAAUCUAUCAGAUAAGACUGCAUAAUUAAAAUGCCAACUAUGAGUAUGAAGAAAGGAGGGCUUUGAUAUGUUAUAGGUAUAGUUUUAGCCUUUUUUUCCCAUGAAACUGUGCCUAAUAUGUAGACAGGAAUGAUCUGUUGCUGUAAAUUUGACAAUGCAAUUAAAGGUAAAUCCCCA